UACGGGGGGGGGCAAGCGUUGUUCGGAAUUACUGGGCGUAAAGGGCUCGUAGGCGGCCAACUAAGUCGGAUGUGAAAUCCCCAGGCUUAACCUGGGAACUGCAUCCGAUACUGGAUGGCUUGAAUCCGGGAGAGGGAUGCGGAAUUCCAGGUGUAGCGGUGAAAUGCGUAGAUAUCUGGAGGAACACCGGUGGCGAAGGCGGGUCUCUGGGCGAACAACUGACGCUGAGGAGCGAAAGCGUGGGGAGCGAACAGG
rnacentral:rRNA from 1 species